rnacentral:rRNA from 1 species
GAACGUUAUUAGUAGGAAAUGGCUAAUAAGUGACGGUACCUUACCAGAAACGGGACGGCUAACUACGUGCCAGCAGCCGCGGUAAUACGUAGGUCCCGAGCGUUAUCCGGAAUUAUUGGGCGUAAAGGGCACGUAGGCGGACAAAUAAGUUUGAUGUCAAGUAUGAUGGCUCAACCAUCAAGAGGCGUUGAAAACUGUUUAUCUAGAAUCUCGGAGAGGUAAGUGGAAUUCCAUGUGUAGCGGUGGAAUGCGUAGAUAUAUGGAGGAACACCAAUGGCGAAGGCAGCUUACUGGACGAAGAUUGACGCUGAGGUGCGAAAGCGUGGGUAGCAAACAGGAUUAGAUACCCUGGUAG